UACGGAGGAGGCGAGCGGUAUCCGGAAUUAUUGGGCUUAAAGGGUGCGUAGGCGGUCUGAUAAGUUAGUGGUAAAAUCGUGCCGCUUAACGGUAUCAUCGCAAUUAAUACUGUCGGACUUGAGUAAGGGUAAGGGAGAUGGAAUUCGUGGUGUAGCGGUGAAAUGCAUAGAUAUCACGAAGAACGCCGAUUGCGAAGGCAGUUGUCUGGCACUUAACUGACGCUGAGGAACGAAAGCGUGGGUAGCGAACAGG
rnacentral:rRNA from 1 species